rnacentral:rRNA from 1 species
AGAAUCAACGCUGGCGGCGUGCCUAACACAUGCAAGUCGAACGAGAAAGUGGGAGCAAUCCCACGAGUAAAGUGGCGCACGGGUGAGUAACACGUGACUAACCUACCCUUGAGUGGGGGAUAACCUAGGGAAACCUGGGCUAAUACCGCAUAAUACCUACGGGUCAAAGGAGCAAUUCGCUUUAGGAGGGGGUCGCGGCAGAUUAGUUAGUUGGCGGGGUAAUGGCCCACCAAGACAGUGAUCUGUAUCCGGCCUGAGAGGGCGCACGGACACACUGGAACUGAAACACGGUCCAGACUCCUACGGGAGGCAGCAGUGGGGAAUUUGCGCAAUGGGGAAACCCUGACGCAGCAACGCCGCGUGGAGGAUGAAGCCCCUUGGGGCGUAAACUCCUUUCGAUCGGGAAGAUAAUGACGGUACCGGAAGAAGAAGCCCGGCUAACUUCGUGCCAGCAGCCGC